CAGAUCUGGUCACCUCCUUUUCACCUUGACCACUUGCAGAGUGUGUCAUGGUUGACGCCUACCUUCAACUUCAGACCGUCUCCAUUCCUGGCUCCUCCACAGCACACUCCCCUGGCUGGCUCUUCUACACUCACCUUUUAAAGUCACAGCCCUCCAGGACGAGCUCCGAGACAGUGACAGUGUCUGCGACAGCGGCGUGGAGACAUCCUUCCGCAAACUCAGCUUUACCGAGUCUCUGACCAGUGGUGCCUCACUGCUAACUCUCAACAAAAUGCCCCAUGAUUAUGGGCAGGAAGGACCUCUAGAAGGCAAAAUUUAGCCUGCUGACAAUUUCCCACACCGUGUAAACCAAAGCCCUAAAAUUCCACUGCGUUGUCCACAAGACAGAAGCUGAAGUGCAUCCAAAGGUGCUCAGAGAGCCGGCCCGCCUGAAUCAUUCUCGAUUUAACUCGAGACCUUUUCAACUUGGCUUCCUUUCUUGGUUCAUAAAUGAAUUUUAGUUUGGUUCACUUACAGAUAGUAUCUAGCAAUCACAACACUGGCUGAGCGGAUGCAUCUGGGGAUGAGGUUGCUUACUAAGCUUUGCCAGCUGCUGCUGGAUCACAGCUGCUUUCUGUUGUCAUUGCUGUUGUCCCUCUGC
rnacentral:lncRNA from 10 species